CUCCACGUGACGUUGGGACCUGCGGCUGAGGCAGUCUGUCUUCCGGGCCAUGGAAGAGCAUUUCCCUGUUUAUUGGCAAAGCUGUCAUUAUUCAAUUGGUAUCAGGUUCUGACUUGCACAAGUAACAUUC